rnacentral:rRNA from 1 species
GACGAACGCUGGCGGCGUGCUUAACACAUGCAAGUCGAACGAUGAAGCCCAGCUUGCUGGGUGGAAGAGUGGCGAACGGGUGAGUAACACGUGAGUAACCUGCCCUGAACUCUGGGAUAAGCACUGGAAACGGUGUCUAAUACUGGAUACGACCUAUCACCGCAUGGUGUGUGGGUGGGAAGAUUUAUCGGUUCUGGAUGGACUCGCGGCCUAUCAGCUAGAUGGUGAGGUAAUGGCUCACCAUGGCGACGACGGGUAGCCGGCCUGAGAGGGUGACCGGCCACACUGGGACUGAGACACGGCCCAGACUCCUACGGGAGGCAGCAGUGGGGAAUAUUGCACAAUGGGCGCAAGCCUGAUGCAGCAACGCCGCGUGAGGGAUGACGGCCUUCGGGUUGUAAACCUCUUUUAGUAGGGAAGAAGCGAAAGUGACGGUACCUGCAGAAAAAGCACCGGCUAACUACGUG